rnacentral:rRNA from 1 species
UAAGGAAUAUUGGUCAAUGGACGCAAGUCUGAACCAGCCAUGCCGCGUGAAGGAUGAAGGUCCUCUGGAUUGUAAACUUCUUUUAUCUGGGACGAAAACGGGAUUUUUAUCUCAAUUGACGGUACCAGAGGAAUAAGCACCGGCUAACUCCGUGCCAGCAGCCGCGGUAAUACGGAGGGUGCGAGCGUUAUCCGGAUUUACUGGGUUUAAAGGGUGCGUAGGUGGGCUUAUAAGUCAGUGGUGAAAUCUCCGAGCUUAACUUGGAAACUGCCGUUGAUACUAUAGGUCUUGAAUUAUCUGGAGGUUAGCGGAAUAUGUCAUGUCGCGGUGAAAUGCUUAGAUAUGACAUAGAACACCAAUUGCGAAGGCAGCUUACUACAUAUAAAUUGACGCUGAGGCACGAAAGCGUGGGGAUCAAACA